GUGGCUGUGAGGUGUGUCACCUUAAAUAUCUUCCCUACCUCCCUGGGCCAUUCUAGUCAAACCUUGCUUCUAGGAAGGCCUGGUUCGUGGAUAAUAAGCAUGGAUGGACGUUCUCUGUGUAAACAUCAUAUCUGGCCAAUCUUUAGAGAACAUAUGCAAGAAUUUCCGUCCCAGAGACCCAGCCUUCUGGCUGUGGUUAUGUAUGCUCUAUCCAGGAUGGUGUUCAUCCUCAUGGAGCACUCUUUGAGGAAUUCACUCUUGAGUGCCAACGAGGUGGGGACCGAGCACAGUCCAGCAGUGGAGAUUCUUCUCCAGGACCCGUGAACCCAGACACUGAGGGAAAGCAGUUUGGCAUCCUAGUAGACAGGUAGGGUAGCGCGACCUCCCCAGGGAAGAUUUACCAAGAGCCAAAAAAUAGGGUUUGAUGGAAGUCCUCCUGGCUUGAUGGGACUUUGCUGUCAGGAGGCAGGGACAGGAGCAGAGUGGAGUAGAGCAGUGGGAUUCGAAGCCAUGCAGCUCACAUGUCAUCUCACCUGGGUUGGGUACAAUAGCCCCCAGGAGUUCCUUACGUCCUCAGACCUCCUGUCUUUCUGCCUCAGCCAUGCUGCGCUCCAGCAUGGCUCCUGCUGCUGCAGCACUGACU
rnacentral:lncRNA from 1 species